UACGUAGGGGGCAAGCGUUGUCCGGAAUGACUGGGCGUAAAGCCCGCGCAGGCGGUCUUUUAAGUCUGAGGUGAAAGGCUGGGGCUCAACCCUGGCAUCGCCUUGGAAACGGGAAGACUUGAGGACUGGAGAGGCAAGGGGAAUUCCACGUGUAGCGGUGAAAUGCGUAGAGAUGUGGAGGAAUACCAGUGGCGAAGGCGCCUUGCUGGACAGUGCCUGACGCUGAGGCGCGAAGGCGUGGGGAGCAAACAGGAUUAGAUACCCUGGUAGUCCACGCGGUAAACGAUGAGUGCUAGGUGUCGGAGGGUACCACCUCCGGUGCCGAAGGAAACCCAAUAAGCACUCCGCCCGGGGAGUACGGUCGCAAGACUGAAACUCAAAGGAAUUGACGGGGGCCCGCACAAGCAGUGGAGCACGUGGUUUAAUUCGAAGCAACGCGAAGAACCUUACCAGGACUUGACAUCCCCCUGACGGGAGUAGAGAUAUUCCGUCCCUUCGGGGCAGGGGAGACAGGUGGUGCAUGGUUGUCGUCAGCUCGUGUCGUGAGAUGUUGGGUUAAGUCCCGCAACGAGCGCAACCCUUGAUCAGUGUUACCAGCACGUAAAGGUGGGGACUCACUGAUGACUGCCGGUGACAAACCGGAGGAAGGCGGGGAUGACGUCAAAUCAUCAUGCCCCUUAUGUCCUGGGCCACACACGUGCUACAAUGGGCGGUACAACGGGAAGCAAGAGAGCGAUCUGGAGCGAAACCCUAAAAGCCGUUCGUAGUUCGGAUUGCAGGCUGCAACCCGCCUGCAUGAAGCCGGAAUUGCUAGUAAUCGCGGAUCAGCAUGCCGCGGUGAAUCCGUUCCCGGGCCU
rnacentral:rRNA from 1 species